AGUGAACGCUGGCGGUAGGCCUAACACAUGCAAGUCGAACGGCAGCACCGUAAGAGCUUGCUCUUACGGGUGGCGAGUGGCGGACGGGUGAGGAAUACAUCGGAAUCUCCUUUUUCGUGGGGGAUAACGUAGUGAAACUUACGAUAAUACCGCAUACGACCUACGGGUGAAAGCAGGGGAUCUUCGGACCUUGCGCGAUUGAAUGAGCCGAUGUCGGAUUAGAUAGUUGGCGUGGCAAAGGCACACCAAGGCGACGAUACGUAGCUGAGCUGAGAGGAUGAUAAGCCACACUGGAACUGAGACGCGGUCCAGACUCCUAUGGGAGGGGGCAGUGGAGAAUAGUGUACAAGGGGCGGAAGCAUGAUCCGACCAUGCCGCGUGGGUUGAGAGGACACUCGGGUUGUAAAUCCAUUUUGUUGGGAAAAAAAAGCAGCAGGUUAAUACCGAGCUGUUCUGUCGGUACCUUAAGAAUAAGCACCGGCUAACUUCGUG
rnacentral:rRNA from 1 species